GGGGUUGUGGCUCAGUGGUAGAGUGCUUGCCUAGCAUGCUUGAGCCACUGAAUUCGAUCCUCAGCACCACA
rnacentral:tRNA from 1 species